rnacentral:rRNA from 1 species
AGAGCGAACGCUGGCGGCAGGCCUAAUACAUGCAAGUCGAACGGAUCCUUCGGGAUUAGUGGCGGACGGGUGAGUAACACGUGGGAACGUACCCUUUGGUUCGGAACAACUCAGGGAAACUUGAGCUAAUACCGAAUGUGCCCUUCGGGGAAAAGAUUUAUCGCCAUUGGAGCGGCCCGCGUCUGAUUAGCUAGUUGGUAGGGUAAAGGCCUACCAAGGCUACGAUCAGUAGCUGGUCUGAGAGGAUGAUCAGCCACACUGGGACUGAGACACGGCCCAGACUCCUACGGGAGGCAGCAGUAGGGAAUCUUGCGCAAUGGGCGAAAGCCUGACGCAGCCAUGCCGCGUGAAUGAUGAAGGUCUUAGGAUUGUAAAAUUCUUUCAGCGGGGACGAUAAUGACGGUACCGCAGAAGAAGCCCGGCUAACUUCGCGCCAGCAGCCGC